rnacentral:rRNA from 1 species
AUACGGAGGGUGCGAGCGUUAAUCGGAAUUACUGGGCGUAAAGGGUGCGUAGGCGGCUUGAUAAGUCGGAUGUGAAAGCCCCGGGCUUAACCUGGGAAUUGCAUUCGAUACUGUCAGGCUAGAGUAUGUCAGAGGUUGGCGGAAUUCCUGGUGUAGCGGUGAAAUGCGUAGAUAUCAGGAGGAACACCAGUGGCGAAGGCGGCUAACUGGGACAAUUCUGACGCUGAGGCACGAAAGCGUGGGGAGCAAACAGGAUUAGAAACCCUAGUAGUCC